rnacentral:lncRNA from 1 species
CGGCGAGUAGAUUCAGGACGCCGAUGCACCCGUGUGCCACGGCACCCCGCGCCGCUGCCGGCGCGCACUCGGCCGCUGUCGCCGGCGGUGCCUCGCUUUGGAAAGAGGCAACCACGCCGGUGGCAUCGACGCGUCCGGCCUCGUACCAAAAGGCGGGCACGCGGCACGCGCGCACUGUCGCAGCGUGGCCGGACCGCCAAAAGACACCCCAAGGCCGAUCGAUGGCGCAAAGCAUAUCCACGGCGUCGGCGCCUAUUACUUGGAUGGGGUCGACGUGGCGCAACGGCCGGAAUCCAUCAACACGUGCGGCGAGGGCUUGCAAGAGGGACACAUUGCCCCUGCGCACGACAAUGUCCCCGACACGCCUGUAGAAUGUAUCAUCACCACUUUCACCAUUGCCAUCACCGCCGCCAUCGUCGUCAGUGGUGGCAUUGGCACCAGUGAUGCCAAUGCCACCACCGCUACCGUCAUUUCCGCGCCCGUUGCCAUCCUCGUGACGACCGCCGACAUUGUGCGCGCUGUCGUUGACGUGUUUGGGAUCGACAUCAUAAACGCCGGUGGCGCAAAGACGAUUCAGUUCGCCAAAUGUGCCGCCGCUGCCGUUUUCAUCGGUAUCACUAGGGAUGACGAAAUCAUCGCCGCCGCUGGCAUCAUUUUGGACAAUGGCGUUGGCGAUGUCGGCAGUGCGUCGUACCUGGCGGUGCGUUGCCGUCGCAUGCACUGGACGCGAUGCGUCCGACAGGCCGCCCACGGCAUAGUCGACCAAGAGAGGCCUGGCCGAGGCGAGUAGCGCCAACAGGACAUCGCGACGCUCGAUCGGUCUCUGGUGCAUGCAGUCGCCGCGAGCGGCCCCAUGAUCACACGUGUAGGCAGCGCUUGCAAGGCAAAACUCUACGAUUUCAUCUGGCGCGCCAUCGUGCAUGGCAACGACGGCCGAUGCCAAGACGCGACACGAUUCGGGCACGCCGUCGCUGUGAUCAGAACCGAGUUGGCGGACCGCCUCGGCGUCCACAAUGUCGCGCCACGAUCGACACACGCGCCGCGCACAAAAGCGCCACCGCGGGUCGAGCGCGUCGACAAUGAUGGCGGUGAGCAUCUCCGCGGGCAGGCAUGCGAUCGAUGCGCCUUCUCUUGCGCCAGAGGAGCCCCAUUGUCGUGCGUCACAUGCCAUGGCCGAGACCGGGUUUCCAUGACGUCGAGCGCGUCCGUUUGCCCCGUCCGACGACACCAGCAGGCGCCGCGACCUGGCGCCGGCGUUCCUUUGUGCGAGUCGAGAAUGUGCCCUGCAAAAGCCGGCGGCCCGCAAACCCUUUUCAAGAAGAUACAAAAGGAGACAUCGCAAAAAAAUGCGAAAGGGGAUUUUUUUGGGUGUGGGGUCUGUGGUCUUGCUCCUUGGGGAUGUUUGCGCAACGUGCGCGAGGGUGUUUGCUGUCGGCACCUUUUCGUGUGCUCGCAGAAAAAAUAAACCAAGACCUG